rnacentral:rRNA from 1 species
AUUGAACGCUGGCGGAAUGCUUUACACAUGCAAGUCGAACGGCAGCACGGACUUCGGUCUGGUGGCGAGUGGCGAACGGGUGAGUAAUGUAUCGGAACGUGCCCAGUCGUGGGGGAUAACGUAGUGAAAAUUACGCUAAUACCGCACACGAUCUAUGGAUGAAAGCGGGGGAUCGCAAGACCUCGCGCGAUUGGAGCGGCCGAUAGCGGAUUAGGUAGUUGGUGGGGUAAAGGCCCACCAAGCCAACGAUCUGUAGCUGGUCUGAGAGGACGACCAGCCACACUGGAACUGAGACACGGGCCAGACUCCUACGGGAGGAAGCAGUGGGGAAUUUUGGACAAUGGGCGAAAGCCUGAUCCAGCCAUUCCGCGUGCAGGAUGAAGGCCCUCGGGUUGUAAACUGCUUUUGUACAGAACGAAAAGGUUUCUACUAAUACUAGGAGCUCAUGACGGUACUGUAAGAAUAAGCACCGGCUAACUACGUGCCAGCAGCAGCCGCCG